CCUUGGUUCUACUUGAAGGGAAAAGCAAACGCAAGAAAGUAUGUGUCAACGUGUCAAUUUCUGGCGCUGUUGUUUGAGAAGUAGCAUAGGUGUGUGAUGCCCUUAGAUGUUUUUCUAGGCCACACACACACUACAUUGAUUUAUUCAACGAGUAUAUAGACUUGGCCGAGAGGCCCAUGUAAUCUUGGGAAAUAUCAUUGUGAUGGGGAUAGAUCAUUGCAAUUGUUGGUC
rfam:Hordeum vulgare subsp. vulgare, WGS project CAJW01000000 data, contig: morex_contig_1989252